CUCUGAUGAUCUAAAGAUCCACAGCUUCAUGUACUGACUCAGAGAAAGUAAAUGGCAUUUCAAAUACAACCUUCAUACUUUAAUAGAUGAGGUCACCCUGAGAAAGAUGAUACUGUGAGCCCAGCAGUGGGAAACCUCCCUCCAGAGAACCGCUUUGAUUUACAAGGUCAAGGAAGGCUUUCUCAGAGAAGCAGUAGGUUUUUAGUGACUUGGACUAAAAUGAAGACUUUUUUAAAAUUAAAAACUGAGUUUGAGACAGCAGACAAUUAGAAACUCUUGCUCAGCAAUAGGGACGACCCCGGAGAACAGGGAUCCUAGCGGCCUGCAGAAGGCAAAGAGUCAGCACUGAUUUGCUGAUGAGGAUAGAGGCCCAAGGAAGGGGCUGCCAUUUGUGGCCGACACUGACAUUCCUGUGUGGACCGACUGAACCCUCGUGAAUCUCCCAGAUGGGUCUCAACAAGGGCGGUUUCUCCUUCAGGGGACCCUGGACAACGUCUGGAGAUGUUUUUGCUUGUUGCCACUGGGGUAAGGGGAUGCGACUGGCAUCGCGUGGGUGGAGGCCAGGGGUGGGGUGCUAUUAAACAUCACCCAGUGCACAGGAUGGCCCCCCAACAGCAGGGGAUGAUCCGGCCACAGAUGCCAGCGGUGCCUUAGGGAACCCCAGCCCAGGGUAGGCACGUACAACCCCAGUGUCAAACCAAGAUGACAAAGCCGGACGCUGUGACUUCCAGAGGUGCCUCCAGACUCAGAGAAAUUUAAUGCAGCACGUGCCCUGGGCCGAGUACAAGUGAAACUGAGGGGUGUUAAGAGAUAAGGGGUGUGGCGGGCACCUUCUGGAGCCCUUCUGGGAACCCUGCCGUCAUGCUGCGGCCAGGACUCUGUCCCCGUGCCAGGGAUUGGGACGGCUGCUUUCUCACAGUCUCGCGGCCUGGCACCCAGUCUCAGAGCUGGCAUGCCGAGCCCCGGGUGAGCCGCAGGUGUAAACGACUGACAAGAUCGCUCCUGAGCUGACCGUCGGCUUUGCCACCUGGGAAGGGACAGGCUAGCGCUUGCCUCUCGCGAGCUACCCGCGCAUGAGUCACACGUAACCAGAUAACAAUGCAAAUCGCUGUCAGCCUUCCUAAGGUUUCAUUCCAACAUCUCAUGGAGUGACAGAGCAGGAAGCAACCUUGGAGACUCUUCGAGCCAGCCCCACGUUGGAGAAAGCUGAAGUGUGGCGAGGUGAGAUGACUCCCUCUCGUUCCCCACGGCAGAGCACGGCGGGCUCAGGGAGGAACAUCUCCUGACCCCGAGAAGGCAGGGCCUCGGCCGGAGGGGGAGCUAGGAGAUCGGUGGCGAAGGUUCUCUUUUACUUCUGGACCAGGCCCCCUGUGGCCAUCAGACGUGGCAACAUCUGCUUCCUCCGCCACGUUCCUCCACAGUCACCGACACGUCAGCAGUGGAAGGGGAAACCAGGGAGAGAAGACCCCACCGGUGCGGGAAGAGCUCAAGUGUCAGCCCCGGCUGCAGGAGCCGAACGCCUAGCCCUCGGCACCCGGCUUCCCAGCGCCUUCCUUGACCCGCCCGGUGACUGAAUUUAUUCUCCAGCAGGCGCCGAGCUCCUUGUUUUGCAGUAGGAAAUUCUCUUUCACAAGAGGGCCACUGUUGACAGGUGUGAGAUUGGACUUGAUUCGGGGCCAACACCUCCAGUCCCGGAGCCAGGUCUGUGAGCCGAAAACAUGCACCAACCCUCCAGUAAUACCACUGCAGCCAGCCAGAGUCUCAACAAUUUAAGGCUUAACACACACAGCAUAAAUCAGAGGAGGAUGGACCAGCCGACCGGCAGUUUCUUGGGCGGGUGCCUGCAGACUGUCUGCAGAUCAGACCCUGCCUGUUUGGGUUAUUUGAGACUUUUUUUUUUUUUUUUGGUAAAAUAUAAAGAUGAGAAACUGGGCGGAGCAGUGUGUGGAGGCAUGCUGGUGUUUGCCCUAUCUUGUUCCGACGGCCCCUUUUUCUCCCUAAGUGCUGUUUUGCAGGGACCGCUCGGGAGGCUUCGCUUUGCUCUAUCCAAACACUAAGAAGGUGUUCAAGCUGGGCAGGGCUGGCACAGGGAAGCCGAGCCCCCCAAUACGGUGCCGUCUGUGUGACCUUCAGCAAGUCACUUAACCUCUCUGGGCUUCCGACUUCUCCGUCUAAUGAGGUGGCUGGCCGUCUCAUUCUGGUCUAUCUAUCUCUGAUUCGCUCAUCUCCAGUGGUCAGAAGUUCAGAGUCAUUGUUAAGAACUGCCUAACUCAGAGGAAACCAUCACCCUUGGGAGAAAAUGUACAGCUCCACCGAAUGCUCUGUUUCUGAGUGGAUCAGUUUCUUGGAGCAAGAAAAGGCCCGUCAUUGGCCUUCUCCUCUUAUCUGUUCCUUAGGAGCGUGUGAUCCUCAAAACCUGGAGCUCCAGGCCUCGGGGCAGGCGGUCAGCAUGCUCCGAGAGCCCAGCGCCGUGUGGGAGGCGAGAAGCAGAUGACAGGUCCGCGCUGCUAGUCAGUGCAGGGCCUCAGGGAGAAAGGCAUCUGGUCUCCGCUCGUGGGAUUCCCGCCACAGUCCUGGGUGGCUCUGGCCCGGGCAUUCGUGCCCUUGACCCUGAGUUCACCAGCAAGGGCGUGGCCACCGCAGGGAUGCUGGGGUCUGGCCGGGCGCCCUGGCUCUCACUGCCCUGCACCGUUCAGGGAGUGAAUGGCAUGGACUGGGCAGCAUCCUGACCUGGGACGAGGGGGACUGUCACUCAGCGCCGGGCCCCGACAGCCCGCGCCUCGCUCCCGCAGCUGCGGCCCUGGCCCGUCUCACCGCACACCUGUUUGCUGGCCUGCUCCUGCCCCACGGCCUGGGCUGCAAGCAGGCUUUCAAGGCCUGGGCCCGGGGCCGGACCAGCACCGAGAGGCAGUUACCUCAGAUCACACAGGAGGGUGAAAUGCGGAGUGGGGCUGGGGACGCUUGGCGGGGCUGAGAAGGACAGAGGGUGGCCUUGAGGCAGGUGUUCUACCCUUGCCUUUAAAAAAAAAAUCCCUACCGCUUCAGUAUGAAAUUCAACAUUGAAAGGAUGGAGACACAAGCACGUGAUACCAAAUCGAACCAUGGGGAUCCACCAUCUCGUCGAGAAAGACAGGGAAAGGCAGAGCAGGAGUAAACGUCCUAAUGCGCCCUCGGUACUGACAGCAGAGCCCACGUUCUGUGCCCCCGCCCCCCCGCCCAGGCAGAGAGACAGCAGGCCAGUAGGACGGGCACUGGACCAGGAGCCCCAGGACUUGGGAGUUCAGGUCCUCCUCCAAGUGGGCCAAUCACUGAUGCUCCCUGGGCCUCAGCGCCUCAUGAAUGAAAUAAAGGGCUUCUAGAAAGACAUUUAAGGUCCCUUUCAACUAUAAGGGUUUUCCAUUUGCAUUUGACCCUGUGGAGAAGUGGGUAUGUGCUCUCCUGUUAAUUUACCCAAGGAAACGGAACUUGGACAAAGAGGACACUAAGACCAUCCUGCCCUUGUCUGCCCCAGGGCUGGCAUCGCUCCUGGAAGUAAGGGGACACGGAAGGUCAUUAUCACAGAGCAGCUGUGUGGCUCAUAGGAGAGGACGGAGGUGCGACUCCCUGGUGAGGCACCAACGCCACCAACGAGAGCACAAUAAUAGCAAUAAUAGUAAAAAGCAUAACACUGACCACUUACCGAGUGUUUAAAGUGUACCGGGCUCUGCGUAAAUACCGGACAGAAGGAUACCUCAAUCCCUGUGAUGAGUUCGUGAGGCAAUGGGGUAAACACCGCACGCCAGGCAUCCGGCGCUUUGUGCAUAUGAACUUGUUUCGUCCUCGCAAGUCUCCCGUGGGCUGGGUACCAUCACUACCGUGCCUGUUUCACAGACGGGGACCAGCGGUGCAGAGGACUAAAGUAAUUCUUGCAAGGUCACCUAAUUGGGAAGUGGCCAGGCAGGGACUGGGAUUCCCGUUAAUAUCCACGUAGAUCUCAGCGUUACUCUGUGGGUCCAGAUUCUGCUUUCCUCAUGUACUGCAUUCUGGGGGUUCCCAUGUCUUUUCUGAUUCCCUCCUGAUGAUAAGGUGGGAGGAACAGCUCCAUCCCGACUGAUGGGACGGAUGGACAGAAGAACUGGCAUUCCGCUUUGACUUCUGCAGCCCACGGAGCGCUCCCGUGAACGACCAGGGAGAAAGUUUGAAAAAUAAGAGAAAUUCCUUACAGACUCUCCAAGGCGUCUCCGCCCACGGCCCUCCCCCAAGGCGUGAAAGUAUCAAAUGAGGAAAUCGGGAAGAGAUUCUGGAAUAAGAAUAACAAGAUUUCCUCUCCCUUCCACCUGAACUGGCCAUCCGUAAUUGUGCACUAAUUCAAUUUUAAAGUCAUGCCUUGUAGUAAUUUGUGGAAAAUCGUAUUAAACAAGAGCCACGUCUGGGCCAUGGCUUCUCCCAUUUAGCAACAUAUGGUGGCUCAGAAAGCCCGAUCCCACGGCAAAAAUAUUACCAAAAAAAGAAAGGGGGGGGGGCCUCGUAAUCCGGGGGCAGAGUGGGAGGCUCUGGGACAUCUCUACUGGCUUCCUGAGAACGCUAGGCGCUCAUCCCUGAGAGCCGCGGAAUUACAGCCUAUUAGCGUUAGGGCCACCUUGUUAAUGACUUUCCUGAUGGGUGAGGGCCUGGGACUCACGUGCCUGCCAGCACCUGAGUGAGCGCAGCGGGCAGACCCUCAGGACCAUGCCGCGCACCUCGUGGGUGGCUAGUGGUGGGGAUUAAAGGAACCAACGAUAUCAUCAGUCAUUCCAGAAAUGUGAGCCAUAAUUAUUGUGUUACUGCCUUUAGUAAACGUGAGAACCAGGCAACGUCCUCGUCAUUCUGCGGUGGGCCCGGCUCCAAUAACCACCGAGGUAUAGACCCGAUCACAGACAUACGCUGCAGAUUCAAACCUGGGGUGGGGCGGGGGAAAGAUCUGCAGGUUUCAAAAGCUUCUGCAUUCAUCCCAAAGACCCCAGCCCCGCUGGAUGGCCAACCGAAGCACGGCUUAAAACUCAGGCAACGACGGUUGUUCCACACAGCAGGCAAGUUACAAAGAAGUACGGAUGAAGAUGAACAGACCCUGAGAGGGACAAUCCAAAUAAACUACUUAAUGGGCAGGAAUGCCAAGUCGAGCCCUUGAGCUUGUGCUGACUUUUACAGAUAUUUUAAUAACUUUAUCCUUAUAUAAUUUGCCGUCUCGUAUGGACAGAGAGAUGCACUAAAGGAGCGUGCACGAGUGGCCGCAACACUGAGAUAACCCCACGAGACGUAAUAAAACAAUCACGUCCUCUUCCUCGUAUGACCUACAACUGCAGGAAGCGCAAUCACUAGUCGGAUUACUUCUUCCUCCCUUUUCACCCCGAGAUAUUCUUUUGAAACCUCCCAAGCAAGUGUAUGUGUGUAGCCCUUCCCAAGGUGCACAGCAUAAGCUCUCUCGUCUUGAUCUGGCCUUGGGAUGAUCAGGCUGAGCACGUAAAGCUGUAGGGCAAAGAGGACUUCUUCUGCAGCAGGAACCAGCAAGUUACGGAUCUGGGACACUUCACGGCCCCAGAUGGGUGAGCUGCUGGCACCCAGAGUAGUGCUGACUCGCCUGGGCCCCUCAGAGACCUUCCUCACACGCCUUCCCUAGGGACGCUCUGCUCUUACGACACCUGGGUGGUCACACCCAGACGCCAAGGCAGAAGGACCAUAGCGCAUCCUCCUUCAUGCUCCCAGAAGGACCCAGAUCUUGUUAGCCAGACUUGGUAACAUCGACCUCUGGAGGCUCAGAUCCAGUGACACUGGGUGGAAGGACCAUUGGUGUGCAGAAAUAAGCCCUAUUUCAGUCCGCGGUGGCGAGUGCUUUAAUGCUCAGGCUUCCCGAGCUGUUAAGUGACCUGAGAUGCACAGAUCAGUGUCCCCCACUCCCUCCUCCGCCCUCUUGUUCACACUUCCUCCAGGUGGGAAAGCAGGGGGUCCCAUCUUAAGAAGGAGAAUCAACUUUACAAAAGGGACAGUUAACUCUAGCUACUGACUGCGAUUGGAGGAUGUUUUGACAAUCUUGAAAUGAUAUUUGGAAUGUUCUUAUCCCCAGACCCGACCCUUAGGGGGUGUGAAAUCACGGUGGGCCCUUGAGCCUGAGUCUGGAGGAAAGCACUAUCUUUCCUGCCCAAUGAUUCUCUCUCCUGCCCAUGGCUCAUUCGGGGGCUUGGUGCCAUGGUUCUGUUUUCCACUGAAACAUGCUCAUUUCUUUUAAACAAUAAAUGUUAUAUUCCAUGCCACUUGGGAGAGCCUGAAUUAGCUAACACUCAAUCUGAAGACUUUCCAUAGCUUGAUAAUCAAAAAUCAACUGGAUAAGAAGUGGUACAUUCCUUUUUUUCUCCCCUCUAUCAAUUGUCAGGAGUGCCCAAAGAAACAGAAGAUAAACAUGAUUGGCCAAUGUUUGUUUUUAGGGUGCGUUCUAUACUGUUUUUUUUUUUUAAAAAAAAUUAUUAUUAUUUUGUUGUAUUUACUGUGGCUGGUAACUGAAUCUCUAGUAUGAAAACAUCAAAUGUUCUGCCAGAAGGAGAUUAUGGAAGAAAAGUCUAUGCUAGGAAACUGGGUUUCUCAGUGAAGAUUUUAUUUACAGGAGUUUUGCAAUCCGGAUCUUUAAUCUCCAUAACAAUUGAGCUGUUCCAGGGCUCUGAAAGCAAUUGUUCAAUAAUAAGAAAGCUCAUGUAGGGCUCCGUAGAGAAUGGACUUGAGGACACAGGGAGGGGGAAGGCUAAGCUGGGACGAAGUGAGAGAGUGGCAUGGACAUAUAUACACUACCAAACGUACGGUGGAUAGCUAGUGGGAAGCAGCCGCAUGGCACAGGGAGAUCAGCUCGGCGCUCUGUGACCACCUAGAGGGGUGGGAGAGGGAAGGUGGGAGGGAGACGCAAGAGGGAGGGGAUAUGGGGAUAUAUGUAUAUGUAUAGCUGAUUCACUUUGUUAUACAGCAGAAACUAACACACCACUGUAAAGCAAUUAUACUCCAAUAAAGAUGUUAAAAAAAAAGGAAAGCUCAUGUAGGGCUAAAGCUUUGCAAGUAAAAUGUGAAAAUAUAAUACAAAUAUACACCGAGGUGGCUCUGAACAGUUGAUAAUUCCCCUGCCUCUUCAUUUUCCCCCUAAAAGUCAGGCUGCAGUGCUCCAAGGGUCAGAGGGAAAUAAGGGAAGAUAGCCGUAAUUACGGUUCAUCAGCAUUAUUUAAAUCAUACGUGUUGAAUUUUAAAGAGCACUAAAAUAACUGAAUUACAGUGGGCCUGCAUUUCUGUUCCAUGAUGGGAGGAAAAAUAAUGCAAGUGAGGAAAACCAGCGCCGUUUGGAGAACCACAACUGACAAGAAAACACAACGGGUCGUUUUCUCACCAGAGCCUUUUUCUCCCCCUUAUCAGCGUAUAUUGUUUGCCCCUCUCUUGGUGCAAACUUUCGGUAAACUUUGAUACCACUUCACGGCCGCAGUCAAAGUUUUGUUUUUAAAUAUCCAAAUGUGAAGGGCUAUCUUCGGGUGAUCUGUAAAUGUGGGAUUAUGAGAUGUGCAAAGUGAAUCACCAGCCUUUCGCAAUGGGUUUCUGGUCAACAGUGCCUCGCAAUAAAGCCAUUUUUAACAAGGCAGCUUGUUCAAAACAACAGUGAUACGCUGAGCUCCAGGCCAUCACAUUCUUGAGUCCCUCCCAACUGGCUGGCUGUGGUCCCCGUGUCGUCUUCUGUCCCUGUGCUUACUCCCAGCCGUGAUGUCAUGAGCUUUUGGGGGCCAGGGCAAGAGGCACCCAGGCCUCCUGCUUUUCAUGGCUCCCAUGACACAGGGGAGAAUCCCUUUUCUCUAUCACUGCUGGGACCUCUGAUUCCAUCAGCAUAGGUGUCUAGAAAAUGUUAAGAAAUAUCUGAUCUCAUGUGAAAAAAAACCCAUACGUUCUCGUGGCUGGAAAAUAAAAGUACCACGAUACUGAGUUCCAGUAAAUGAUGGCCGGAAGUGAGAGUAGCUGGAAGAUGUGCUUGAGUAUGCGUGGCACAAGACACUGAGUUCACAGUUACCUGCCCAUCAUAUCUGUUCUGGGGGAGUGGACAAGGGAAAGUGAUCUCUGGACUCACCUGGUGCCCGGUAUCCAUUCCACCUUGGUGUAAUAGGUAGAAUGGUGGCCCUGCAAAGGUAUGUAUGUCCAUGUUCUGACCCACGGAACUGUGAAUGUGACCUGAUUUGGAAGAAGGGUCUUGGCGGAUGUAAUUAAGUGAAGGAUCUCAAGAUGAGAU